UGCAGUCGAGCGAAUGGAUUAAGAGCUUGCUCUUAUGAAGUUAGCGGCGGACGGGUGCAGUAACACGUGGGUAACCUGCCCAUAAGACUGGGAUAACUCCGGGAAACCGGGGCUAAUACCGGAUAACAUUUUGAACCGCAUGGUUCGAAAUUGAAAGGCGGCUUCGGCUGUCACUUAUGGAUGGACCCGCGUCGCAUUAGCUAGUUGGUGAGGUAACGGCUCACCAAGGCAACGAUGCGUAGCCGACCUGAGAGGGUGAUCGGCCACACUGGGACUGAGACACGGCCCAGACUCCUACGGGAGGCAGCAGUAGGGAAUCUUCCGCAAUGGACGAAAGUCUGACGGAGCAACGCCGCGUGAGUGAUGAAGGCUUUCGGGUCGUAAAACUCUGUUGUUAGGGAAGAACAAGUGCUAGUUGAAUAAGCUGGCACCUUGACGGUACCUAACCAGAAAGCCACGGCUAACUACGUGCCAGCAGCCGCGGUAAUACGUAGGUGGCAAGCGUUAUCCGGAAUUAUUGGGCGUAAAGCGCGCGCAGGUGGUUUCUUAAGUCUGAUGUGAAAGCCCACGGCUCAACCGUGGAGGGUCAUUGGAAACUGGGAGACUUGAGUGCAGAAGAGGAAAGUGGAAUUCCAUGUGUAGCGGUGAAAUGCGUAGAGAUAUGGAGGAACACCAGUGGCGAAGGCGACUUUCUGGUCUGGUAACUGACACUGAGGCGCGAAAGCGUGGGGGAGCAAACCAGG
rnacentral:rRNA from 1 species